rnacentral:rRNA from 1 species
GACGAACGCUGGCGGCGUGCUUAACACAUGCAAGUCGAACGGAAAGGCCUGCUUUCCCUUGUGGAUUGCGGGUACUCGAGUGGCGAACGGGUGAGUAACACGUGAGUGAUCUGCCCCCAACUUGGGUAUAAGCCUGGGAAACUGGGUCUAAUUCCCGAUAGGACUGCAGGGUGGUGCCGGUGGUGGAAAACGAUUUUCUAGUGGUUGGGGAUGAGCUCGCGGCCUAUCAGCUUGUUGGUGGGGUAAUGGCCUACCAAGGCGGCGACGGGUAGCCGGCCUGAGAGGGUGGACGGUCACAUUGAGACUGAGAUACGGCCCAGACUCCUACGGGAGGCAGCAGUGGGGAAUAUUGCACAAUGGGCGGAAGCCUGAUGCAGCGACGCCGCGUGGAGGAUGACGGCCUUCGGGUGGUAAACUCCUUUCGACCGCGAGGAAGCCACCUGGUUGGAAGGGUGGUGACGGUAGUGGUAGAAGAAGCACCGGCUAACUACGUG